rnacentral:rRNA from 1 species
UACGUAGGGUGCUAGCGUUGUUCGGAAUCAUUGGGCGUAAAGCGCGUGCAGGUUGUUAGUUAAGUCAGAUGUGAAAUCCCUGGGCUCAACCGAGGAAGUGCAUUUGAAACUAACUAGCUAGAAGAUGGUAGAGGAAGGUGGAAUUCCAAGUGUAGAGGUGAGAUUCGUAGAUAUUUGGAGGAAUACCGGUGGCGAAGGCGGCCUUCUGGACCAUUCUUGACACUGAGACGCGAAAGCGUGGGUAGCAAACAGG